UCUGCAUUGAUACAUCUGACUCCUGAAUGGUCCUUUGUUGCAUGUCUCAUUUUAUGCUGACAUCAUCACAGAAAUUCCACAACAGGAGCGUUUUCCGAGGUGUUUUCUGGU